rnacentral:rRNA from 1 species
GACGAACGCUGGCGGCGUGCUUAACACAUGCAAGUCGAACGGAAAGGCCCGGCUUUUGUGGGUUGCUCGAUUGCCGAAGGGGUGUGUAACACGUGAGUAACCUGCCCUUGUCUUUGGGAUAUCUCCAGGAAACUGGGGCUAUUACCGCAUAGAAUCUCUUGCUCCAUGUUGGGGGUUGGAAAGUUGCGGCGGUUGGGGAUGUACUCGCGGUUUACCAGCUUGUUGGUGGGGUAGUGGCUUACAAAGCUUUUGACGGGUAGCCUGCCUGGGAGGGAGACCGGCCACAGUGGGAUUGAGAAAGGACCCAGACGCCAACGGGAGGAAAGGGUGGGAAAUAUUGCACAAUGGGCGGAGGCCGGAUGGAGCAACGCCGGGUGGGGAAUGACGGCUUUCGGGUUGUAAACCGCUUUCGCGUGUGACGAAGCGUGAGUAAGGGAAAUGGGUAAAAAGGCACGGCUUAAUUAGGG